rnacentral:lncRNA from 1 species
GCCGAAAUUUUGUAAGGGGAAAACAACUCAUCUGAUUGUUAUUAUAUAUCCUUAAAUGGAAAGUUCAUUGUAAAUUAAAGAAAUCUAGCCAACCAUAGAAAGUAGUAUGGACAAAUUGAAUUAGCCCUGACGAUCGUGUGACCCCUCUUGCUUCCAUUCUGUUUACCUGCUCCACUGAGCACUCCCUUCAAUUACAAAAUUAGUCCACAUUGAUGCUCUAUAAUCUUUGUUUGCCUCGUGACAAAAUAUACUACACUAUUAAAAAUGAAGUAGAACUCUAAAUCUUCUCUCUAACGCAUUGAA